AACACCAGGCUGAAAUCUGCCACAGUAGAACAGCUGCCUCAUCAGCUGAGCCAUCCCUCCAGGCAAAAUGGAGCUUUCCCAGAGGAGAACAAGCUGGGUACUGGGGCAGUGGAGGACUACUAUAGCUACACCAAGGAGCAGUGCCAGACCUGACAUAGUCACGGGGCAGCACCACAUCUGAGCCUGCACUCAGUGUCGGGAGUGCCAGACCUGGAGAGCAAACCACAGCAACGCACUGCCAAAGAGAGGUUAUAUGCAUGUGGCUCAACAGAUGUACAGAUGUCUGUCCAUAUGUGCAGGGAUUAUCCAAACAGGGCAGGCGUGUAGAGACCAGCCAAGUUUGUCUUCUUAGAAAACUGUCCAGCAUCCAAGCAUCAUGGUUUCAGCAUCAUCUGGACCAGGAGCUGAUCCAAAAUUCAUCCACAGGAGGGGCCUCUUGAUUAGGAAGCAAGGCACAAGUCAUAAGGAAUUUGAAGGUCACAGAUGAAAGGUGAUCAAGAUGCAAACUGCUGUUGGAUUGAACAUCCCAACUGAGAUGUCACAACCAUAAUGUAAGGUGUGUAUCUUGAAAGAA